rnacentral:rRNA from 1 species
UACAGAGGCCUCGAGCGUUAGGCGGAAUCACUGGGCUUAAAGCGUGUGUAGGCGGACUUCUAAGUACCUUGUGAAAUCCCACAGCUUAACUGUGGAACUGCUUGGUAUACUGGUUGUCUUGAGGUACCUAGGGGCGAGCGGAACAAGUGGUGGAGCGGUGAAAUGCGUAGAUAUCAUUUGGAACGCCAAUGGUGAAAACAGCUCGCUGGGGGUGUACUGACACUGAGACACGAAAGCCAGGGGAGCGAACGGG